AACGAACGCUGGCGGCAUGCCUAACACAUGCAAGUCGAACGAGACCGUCGGGUCUAGGGGCGCACGGGUGCGUAACGCGUGGGAACCUGCCCGUAGGUUCGGAAUAACUCCCCGAAAGGGGUGCUAAGACCGGAGAAGGUCUUCGGACCAAAGAUUUAUCGCCUUUGGAUGGGCCCGCGUUGGAUUAGCUAGUUGGUAGGGUAAAAGCCUACCAAGGCGACGAUCCAUAGCUGGUCUGAGAGGAUGAUCAGCUACACUGGGACUGAGACACGGCCCAGACGCCUACGGGAGGCAGCAGUGGGGAAUAUUGGACACUGGGCGAAAGCCUGAUCCCGCAAUGCCGCGUGAGUGAUGAAGGCCUUAGGGUUGUACAGCUCUUUUACCCGGGAUGAUAAUGACAGUACCGGGAGAAUAAGCUCCGGCUAACUCCGUG
rnacentral:rRNA from 1 species